GAUGAACGCUGGCGGCGUGCCUAAUACAUGCAAGUCGAGCGAACAGACGAGGAGCUUGCUCCUCUGAUGUUAGCGGCUGACGGGUGAGUAACACGUGGAUAACCUACCUAUAAUACUGGGAUAACUUCGGGAAACCGGAUCUAAUACCGGAUAACAUGUUGAACCGCAUGGUUCAACAGUGAAAGACGGUCUUGCUGUCACUUAUAGAUGGAUCCGCGCCGCAUUAGCUAGUUGGUAAGGUAACGGCUUACCAAGGCAACGAUGCGUAGCCGACCUGAGAGGGUGAUCGGCCACACUGGAACUGAGACACGGUCCAGACUACUACGGGAGGCAGCAGUAGGGAAUCUUCCGCAAUGGGCGAAAGCCUGACGGAGCAACGCCGCGUGAGUGAAGAAGGUCUUCGGAUCGUAAAACUCUGUUAUUAGGGAAGAACAAAUGUGUAAGUAACUAUGCACGUCUUGACGGUACCUAAUCAGAAAGCCACGGCUAACUACGUG
rnacentral:rRNA from 1 species